rnacentral:rRNA from 1 species
GACGAACGCUGGCGGCGUGCCUAAUACAUGCAAGUUGAGCGCUGAAGGCUGGUACUUGUACCACCUGGGUGAGCAGCGAACGGGUGAGUAACGCGUGGGGAAUCUGCCUUUGAGCGGGGGACAACAUUUAGAAACGAAUGCUAAUACCGCAUAAAAACUUUAAACACAAGUUUUAAGAGUGAAAGAUGCAAUUGCAUCACUCAAAGAUGAUCCCGCGUUGUAUUAGCUAGUUGGUGAGGUAAAAGCUCACCAAGGCGAUGAUACAUAGCCGACCUGAGAGGGUGAUCGGCCACAUUGGGACUGAGACACGGCCCAGACUCCUACGGGAGGCAGCAGUAGGGAAGCUUCGGAGAUGGACGGAAGUCUGACCGAGCAACGCCGCGUGGGUGAAGAAGGUUUUCGGAUCGUAAAACUCUGUUGGUAGAGAAGACCGUUGGUGAGAGUGGAAAGCUCAUCAAGUGACGGUAACUACACAGAAAGCGACGGCUAACUACGUG